rnacentral:rRNA from 1 species
CAGGCCUAACACAUGCAAGUCGAGCGGGGAAGGGUAGCUUGCUACCUGACCUAGCGGCGGACGGGUGAGUAAUGCUUAGGAAUCUGCCUAUUAGUGGGGGACAACAUUCCGAAAGGAAUGCUAAUACCGCAUACGCCCUACGGGGGAAAGCAGGGGAUCUUCGGACCUUGCGCUAAUAGAUGAGCCUAAGUCAGAUUAGCUAGUUGGUGGGGUAAAGGCCUACCAAGGCGACGAUCUGUAGCGGGUCUGAGAGGAUGAUCCGCCACACUGGGACUGAGACACGGCCCAGACUCCUACGGGAGGCAGCAGUGGGGAAUAUUGGACAAUGGGCGAAAGCCUGAUCCAGCCAUGCCGCGUGUGUGAAGAAGGCCUUUUGGUUGUAAAGCACUUUAAGCGAGGAGGAGGCUACCGAGAUUAAUACUCUUGGAUAGGGACGUU